rnacentral:rRNA from 1 species
CAAGAUACAUUCAAUAAGCGGAGGACAAGAAAUCAACAGAGAUUGCCUCAGUAACGGCGAGUGAAGCGGCAACAGCUCAAAUUUGAAAUCUGGCCCCCUCGGAGCCCGAGUUGUAAUUUGCAGAGGGUGCUUUGGCGUCGGCUGUGGCCUAAGUUCCUUGGAACAGGAUGUCGUAGAGGGUGAGAAUCCCGUACGCGGCCGCCAGCCUUUGCCGUGUAAAGCCCCUUCGAAGAGUCGAGUUGUUUGGGAAUGCAGCUCUAAACAGGAGGUAAAUUCCUUCCAAAGCUAAAUACCGGCCAGAGACCGAUAGCGCACAAGUAGAGUGAUCGAAAGAUGAAAAGCACUUUGGAAAGAGAGUCAAAAAGCACGUGAAAUUGUUGAAAGGGAAGCGCUUGCAGCCAGACGCGCCUGCGGGGGUUCAUCCGGGCUUCUGCCCGGUGCACUCCCCCGCGGGUGGGCCAGCGUCAGCUUGGGUGGCCGGACAAAAGCCUGCUAAACGUACCUCCCCCGGGAGGACUUAUAGGGUAGGUGGCAUUACGGCUAGCCCGGGCUGAGGACCGCGCUUCGGCGAGGAUGCUGGCGUAAUGGUGGCAAGCGGCCCGUCUUGAAACACGGACCAAGGAGUCUAACGUCUAUGCGAGUGUUUGGGUGUCAAGCCCGAUCGCGCAAUGAAAGUGAACGGAGGUGAGAUCCCUCACGGGUGCAUCAUCGACCGAUCCUGAAGUCUUCGGAUGGAUUUGAGUAAGAGCGUAGCCGUUGGGACCCGAAAGAAGGUGAACUAAGCUUGAAUAGGGUGAAGCCAGAGGAAACUCUGGUGGAGGCUCGCAGCGGUUCUGACGUGCAAAUCGAUCGUCAAAUUUGGGCUUAGGGGCGAAAGACUAAUCGACUUCU